rnacentral:rRNA from 1 species
ACUGUGUGUUGUUGGGUAGGGGAGCGUUCUGUAAGCCUGUGAAGGUGUGUCGUGAGGCAUGCUGGAGGUAUCAGAAGUGCGAAUGCUGACAUAAGUAACGAUAAAGCGGGUGAAAAGCCCGCUCGCCGGAAGACCAAGGGUUCCUGUCCAACGUUAAUCGGGGCAGGGUGAGUCGACCCCUAAGGCGAGGCCGAAAGGCGUAGUCGAUGGGAAACGGGUUAAUAUUCCCGUACUUGGUGUUACUGCGAAGGGGGGACGGAGAAGGCUAUGUUGGCCGGGCGACGGUUGUCCCGGUUUAAGCGUGUAGGUGUGUGUUCCAGGUAAAUCCGGUUCACUUUAACACUGAGGCGUGAUGACGAGGCACUACGGUGCUGAAGCAACAAAUGCCCUGCUUCCAGGAAAAGCCUCUAAGCAUCAGGUAACACGAAAUCGUACCCCAAACCGACACAGGUGGUCAGGUAGAGAAUACCAAGGCGCUUGAGAGAACUCGGGUGAAGGAACUAGGCAAAAUGGUGCCGUAACUUCGGGAGAAGGCACGCUGACACGUAGGUGAAGUGAUUUACUCAUGGAGCUGAAGUCAGUCGAAGAUACCAGCUGGCUGCAACUGUUUAUUAAAAACACAGCACUGUGCAAACACGAAAGUGGACGUAUACGGUGUGACGCCUGCCCGGUGCCGGAAGGUUAAUUGAUGGGGUCAGCGCAAGCGAAGCUCCUGAUCGAAGCCCCGGUAAACGGCGGCCGUAACUAUAACGGUCCUAAGGUAGCGAAAUUCCUUGUCGGGUAAGUUCCGACCUGCACGAAUGGCGUAAUGAUGGCCAGGCUGUCUCCACCCGAGACUCAGUGAAAUUGAACUCGCUGUGAAGAUGCAGUGUACCCGCGGCAAGACGGAAAGACCCCGUGAACCUUUACUAUAGCUUGACACUGAACAUUGAGCCUUGAUGUGUAGGAUAGGUGGGAGGCUUUGAAGUGUGGACGCCAGUCUGCAUGGAGCCGACCUUGAAAUACCACCCUUUAAUGUUUGAUGUUCUAACGUGGACCCGUGAUCCGGGUUGCGGACAGUGUCUGGUGGGUAGUUUGACUGGGGCGGUCUCCUCCUAAAGAGUAACGGAGGAGCACGAAGGUUGGCUAAUCCUGGUCGGACAUCAGGAGGUUAGUGCAAUGGCAUAAGCCAGCUUGACUGCGAGCGUGACGGCGCGAGCAGGUGCGAAAGCAGGUCAUAGUGAUCCGGUGGUUCUGAAUGGAAGGGCCAUCGCUCAACGGAUAAAAGGUACUCCGGGGAUAACAGGCUGAUACCGCCCAAGAGUUCAUAUCGACGGCGGUGUUUGGCACCUCGAUGUCGGCUCAUCACAUCCUGGGGCUGAAGUAGGUCCCAAGGGUAUGGCUGUUCGCCAUUUAAAGUGGUACGCGAGCUGGGUUUAGAACGUCGUGAGACAGUUCGGUCCCUAUCUGCCGUGGGCGCUGGAGAACUGAGGGGGGCUGCUCCUAGUACGAGAGGACCGGAGUGGACGCAUCACUGGUGUUCGGGUUGUCAUGCCAAUGGCACUGCCCGGUAGCUAAAUGCGGAAGAGAUAAGUGCUGAAAGCAUCUAAGCACGAAACUUGCCCCGA